ensembl:lncRNA
GCUCCUCUGUUGUGUUCUUGCUCCUGCCCUAGAUGUGUGUGGAUCCUCUGGGGGCGUCCGUUGGAAGAAAGCCGCUUGCGGGUACUAGGCUGCCCGUCGGGGUCGGAGAGUUUUCACCUAUUUCCACAUCCUCCCGGAGGAAAGUCCAUCCGCCUUCCAAUGUAUAGUCGCGUGGGUGUCUCAGACGUCCUGAGAUGCUGUCUGGAUAUCCUUUGUCAAGCGAUAAGUGUCCAAAUAAUUGUAGACUCGAAGGGCGAGAGACAAAGAGGACUACUCAUGGCGCCAUCUUCCCAUUCUCCUAUGAGGGCCUUCUUGACUGGCCCUUAACUCUAGUUUUUGUCCUUUAAGCCCCACGAGACUGCCUAAGGCUCUGCUCAACUUCUCAGCCUCCAGGCUGCUGCUCGUAAGCCAGCAGUAUCUGAUCUGAUGGGGGAAGCCGUGCUGAGGACUGAGCCAUCUCAGUGCUUCUCUUGUCCCUGAAAUCUUGGCCCCUCAAGGUCUUACCACCUCAGUAGCUCUCCAAAUCUUUUUGAACAGAUUUUUUUUUUGUUGUUCUAAAUCCAGUGUUUGAUUUUUUUCUUGGCAGGAGAGACAACAGAUCUGACACAAACUAGUUCCCCCUGGCCAGAACAGGGAUGGGGCAAAUGCAGUGGACUGCAUGUACCCAGGUGCCUAACACAGUGCCUAACAUACAGGCAUUCCAUGCUCGUUUGUUGUAUAAAUGAAGAAAUGAGUAAACGAAUGGUCAGACUAAUUAUAAAAGGGCAAGAGUAGAAGGAAUAAAGGGUGAAAGUCCCACAAGAAUCAUCUCUUCCACCAAGACCUUUGUGAAGAGCAUGUUUCCUCCUUUCCUGACUCUUCCUCUGUUCCGGCUCCACCCCUGCCCUACAUGCAGCCUCCUGCUCACAUCUCCCGCACCUCACCUUCUCUAUCCCCAGGAAGGGCUCAUCGCUUGGUCCCUUGUGUCUUGGAAACCCAAGCAAUGUCUUUGGUGUCUGCCAGGCAGGCAGUGGCCUUCUCUGCUCUGUCCUAGCUGCUGGAGAUGGUGGUGUUCAGACUUGAGUCCCAAGAACGAGGGUGGAUGGCAGUGUCCAAUUCCAGUUGGGUCUGUCUGUCAGCACAGCAGUUUCUCUUUACUACGUCACUUGGUGAAGGCAAACAUCCCUUUCCUGUGGCUAUGUCUAGGUCAAAUUCCUAUGGAGAAAUAGCUAUUUAUUUCUCUUGUUAGCAUAGUUGGGGCCAGACCUUUCAAAACAAUCCUCUCUCAUCUCCCGUCCCACCUUGUGGAUGCCAUUUCAAAAGAAGCUACCCCUGACAUUAAGUGUUUUCCAAAGGAUGGCACCAGCUUCCCCAGGUCAGCACCACCGGCCUCCUUUGACGUUAGUCUUCUGAUAGGAGAGAGCUUGCUGGCUCACCCUACCACUUACGUAGCCGACAUUUCCUUCUACCUGCAGCUGGCGAUCUGCCUUCUGGACCAAGAAGUCCCACCUCCACUGUUCCACUGACAUGACAAGACAACGAAUUUGAUGAGAUCAGGGGCAAUGUUUCUGCUCAGCAUCGUAUCCCCAGUGCACAGCAGCGUGCUCCACACACAGCGAGGCCGAAGGCUCCGACAGCCCCAUGUUUCCCUCCGUUCCACCAACUAACUUCUCCUGAACGCUUUCCAUGAGCCGAAUGGAUCUGUGCUAGCAUCACAGGGAGUGUGUAAUUUGUUCUCACGACCUCGCCAUGAGAUAAGGACUUCAUCCAACUCCGUGGGGACUGUUAGCCUCACUUUACCACAGGAGGUGGAGGCACAGGAGAAGUUCAGGGCCUCAGCCAAUGUGACUGCGGGAAAAUCCUAGAGCAGAGAUUCAAAGCUGGGCAGUGUGGCUCCAGCACCCACGCCCUUAACCCCUGCUGCAGGCUGUCCCCAUCACAGCCUCUAUCACACCGUGCGGUAGGGGCCCCUAUCCUCCCGCACCGAGCUUCUCUCUGACAGAAACAAUUGAACAAAGAGUGAAGAAGUGAAUGAAUGGCCAGCUCUCAAGGUAGCCCUAUCCACCGCUCUCCGUUCUGCUGCCACCAUCCUGCCCCAAGCCAUUGCCCUCGGUGGACAUCCACCAUUGUCACGCACUGAGACCACUGCCAUCCCCUCCUGAACGACUCUUCUGCUCCCACGCUGCUCAUCUGCAGUCUGUUCCGCACACGAUCGCUGGGAUGAUCACAGGGCGUGGCAGCUCCCGACCCUUGCCUGUAGCCACUGUUCAGGGGCUCUCCAUCUACUGUGAAAUAAAAUCCCACAUCUCCAGCCUGGCUGACAAGGCCCUUCUUUGGUCCCUCGACCUCUCUGAGGGCACCUCAGGCGCUUCUUCCCUUUCGCUGUGCCCUUCCGUGAAUAUAUCAAGCUCAGCCUUUUAUUUUUGAGGACAAUUAGUCCUGAGCUAACAUCCAUCUCCAAUCCUCCUCUUUUUGCUGAGAAAGAUUGGCCCUGAGCUAACAUCUGUGCCCAUCUUCCUCUAUUUUAUGUGGGACGUCUGCCACAGCAAGGCUUGACAAGCGGUGGUAGGUCCGCACCCAGGAUACGAACUAACAAACCCCGGGCUGCCAAAGGGGAACACUUGAACCCAACCACUACGCCAGCCUCUAAUGCUCAGUCUGUCUCAGGACUUUCCCAUGUUCUGUUCCCUCUGCCCAGAAUGCUUGUCCAUCAGAUUUCAGCAUGGCUUGUUUUCCUCUUGUUAUUCAGAUCUUAGCUUCGCUCUCGCCUGUCAGAGAUGCCUUCUCUAAUCUCCCAAUUAAAGCAGCCAUACGCCCAGUCUCCACCACAGUAUCCAGCUUUAUUGUCCUCGUAAGACUCAGCACUAACACUUUUUUGUUUAUGUGUGUGUUUCCUUGUCGACUGUCUGAUUUCCCCUUCUGAAUGUCAAUGCGGACAGGAUGAGGACCUCGCUGGCUUUACUCCACGAUAUCCCCAGAGCCCAGAACAGUGUGAGCACUCGUUGGAUGAAUGGUGGAAUGAGUAAGGAAACUCCUUGAUAUCAUUCUUUGCACAUCGCCGCCUUGGGGGAGCAGACAGCGAGUUCAAAAUUCAGAUUAGGUGGUGGUUCUGUGAAUAAUCAUGAUGCUUUAUCUUCAUCUGGCUUGAUCCCCUGAGACACUCCCAACAACUCCCUGUGCUGGGCACAGGCGUCACAUCUCACUGGUGCUCCGAGAGCUGAAGUGACUCACAGGUCACAUAGACACACACACACCAGGACUCAAAUCCACGUCUUUGUCUCCAGAAUGUAAACGCCAAGAACACAGAGACUUGGCCUGUCUUGUCCCCACAGUAUCCUCAGGGCCUAAUAAUGUGUGAGUAUUUGUUAAUAAAUGAAUGAGCAGACUCUUGGACAGAAUUCUCUCUCUGAGACUAAGGCAAAUUUCUAAAAAAUUGCCGAUUCCAGCCUCUAGCCCCACCUGGCUGGUCUGCUUUGGCGUCAGAGGAGCCAGCUCUUUGUUCCCUCCCUCCCUGGUCCUGGGGCCAGGGUCCAGCACCUUCCAGUUCAGAAGGUGCACCCACACCCUGGCCAGGUUCAGCUCUCCAGCACCCACACUCAUCCCAUCCUUGACUGCGAGUUUCACAAAUCCACGGCUUUUACAGGGACCAAGUUCUUACUCGUCCCGUGUAGUCUGAGAAGUGGCAGGAAUCGUGUUCACAGGAGAAAUGGCUGGAGACCAGAGUCUCAGGCCCCGAGCGAGUGGUGCUGAUAGGACCCGCCUUUGAGCAAUAUCCCCAGGUGACCUUGUGAAGUUAGCACUGGAAGCCUGAGCUGUCUUUAUCAGCAUUCCGAUCUCUAUUUCGCUUGUGAAAUACCUGAGCCUCGGGGCCCCUGAGCUGUCAGCAAUCCAGAAGCACAGCAAUCCUCUUGGUGGCAGUUUUGAGAGCAG